rnacentral:rRNA from 1 species
AACGAACGCUGGCGGCAGGCCUAACACAUGCAAGUCGAACGCUCGUAGCAAUACGAGAGUGGCAGACGGGUGAGUAACACGUGGGAACCUUCCCUAUGGUUCGGAAUAGCUCAGGGAAACUUGGGGUAAUACCGGAUAAGCCCUUCGGGGAAGGAUUAUCGCCAUUGGAUGGGCCCGCGUCGGAUUAGCUAGUUGGUGAGGUAACGGCUCACCAAGGCAACGAUCCGUAGCUGGUCUGAGAGGAUGAUCAGCCACACUGGGACUGAGACACGGCCCAGACUCCUACGGGAGGCAGCAGUGGGGAAUAUUGGACAAUGGGCGCAAGCCUGAUCCAGCCAUGCCGCGUGAGUGACGAAGGUCUUCGG